ensembl:lncRNA
GUAACUCCUGAGCUGCCAUCUCAGCCUAGGAGGAGAACUGGAGUGAGGAAGGCAGACCUGGUGGGGGCCACAAACAAGCGCUCAGAGGCAGGCGCACCAGGGCACAUGAAAUGGGCUUUAAGAAGGGAUGCUCGUUAUAAAAAGAGUCGGAGACGACUGAAGCAACUUAGCACACACACAGGCAGUGUGUGUACAUAUAUACACACAUCAAUGCUGCUUUGUCAAUUGCCCUACUUUCUUGGUGGCUCAGACGGUAAAGCAUCUGACUGCAAUGCAGGAGACCUGGGUUCAAUCCCUGGGCUGGGAAAGAUCCCCUGGAGGAGGAAAUGGCAACCCACCCCAGUACUCUUGCCUGGAAAACCCCAUGGAGGAGGAGCGUGGUAGGCUACAGUCCCUGGGGUCGCAAAGAGUUGGACACGACUGAGCGACUUCACUUUCACUUCUUUCUUUCUCCUCCUGCUGUGUCCACCAAGCCAUUCUUUAUGUCUGUGUCCCCACUCCUUUCCUCCCCUGCAAAUAGGUUCACCAGCACGGUUUUUCCAGAUUCCAUAUGCGUGUGUUAACACACGAUACUUGUUUUUCUCUUUCUGACUUACUUCGACCUUUGUAACAGGCUCUCGGGUCACCCACGUCACUACAGCUGACCAGAUCCGUUCUUUUUUACGGCUGAGUAAUGGGCAUUGGAAUUCGUACAGAGGCUACGAUACGGAUGAACCAGGAGGACCCUGUCCUGAAUGAAAGAAGCCAGGCAGGAAGGGACAAAUCCUGAAGAAUUCCACUCCUACGAGGAUACAGCUCCCAGUUCCCUGUGCUUCGCAGUAAGACCUCAGCAAGACCUCUGCUAACCCAACUCCCGCUCCAGCCCGCCUCCACCCUCCUCCCCAUCAGCAACCACGAGUCUGCUCUCUGCGUCUGUGAGGCUGUUUGUAGAUAAGCUCACUUGUGUCAUAUUUUACAUUCCACAUGUGGUGUAUUUGUCUUUCUCUGUCUUACUUCACUGUAGCAUGAUCAUCUCUAGAUAUCUAGCACAAUAAUCUGUAGGUUCAUCCAUGUUGCUGCAAAUGGUAUUAUUUCAUUCUUUUUUAUGACUCAGUAGUAUUCCACUGUGUGUGUGUACCAUAUUUUCUUUAUCCAUCUGUCCAUGGACACUUAGGUUGCUUCCCUGUCCUCGGUAUCGUGAAUAGUUACACAUACUUAAAAAAAAUUAUUUAACUUAUUAAUUUGUUUGACCACGUUGGGUCUUAGCUGUGGCUCGAGAGAUCUUCACUGCAGCCUGUGGGAUCUUUUGCUGUGACCCGUGGGCUCCGUAGCCCCAUGGCACGUGAGGUGCUUCUGACUGGGGGUCGAACCUGCAUCCCUGCACUGGAAGGUGGAUUCUCAACCACGAGACCACCAGGGAAGUCCCUGUACUUUCUUUAAAAAGAAAUCUUUCUUUUUUUCUGCCACAGUUGAUAAGUCAGAGAGAGAAGCUGAAUAGGACACCUGAAUCAGGAGCACGGGCUCUAGAUGCUCAGGCUUCGGUAGCUGUGGCACACGAGCUUAGCCGCCCCACGGCAUGCAGAAUCUUCCUGGACCACGGGUCGAACCUGUUAUUCCCCUGCAUUGGCAGGAGGAUUCUGAACCACUAGACCACCUGGGAAGUUCAACAUGACCUCAUCUUGAUCUGAUCACAUCUGCAAAGACCCUACUUUCAAACAAGGGGACGCAGUUACGAUGCCUGGUCUUGGAGGGUUCCACGUGCCACGGAGCAACUAAGGCCGGGAGCCACAACCACUGAAGCCUGUGCACCUAGAGCCUGUGCUCUGCAACCGGAGAAGCCACCGCAGCGAGAAGCCCGUGACCCGCAAACAGAGAGCAGCCCCUGUUCACCAAACGAGAGAAAGCCUGUGUGCAGCAAUGAAGACCCAGCUCUGUCAAAAAUAUGCG